GACGAACGCUGGCGGCGUGCUUAACACAUGCAAGUCGAACGGAAAGGCCCUGCUUUUGUGGGGUGCUCGAGUGGCGAACGGGUGAGUAACACGUGAGUAACCUGCCCUUGACUUUGGGAUAACUUCAGGAAACUGGGGCUAAUACCGGAUAGGAGCUCCUGCUGCAUGGUGGGGGUUGGAAAGUUUCGGCGGUUGGGGAUGGACUCGCGGCUUAUCAGCUUGUUGGUGGGGUAGUGGCUUACCAAGGCUUUGACGGGUAGCCGGCCUGGGAGGGUGACCGGCCACAUUGGGACUGGGAUACGGCCCAGACUCCUACGGGAGGCAGCAGUGGGGAAUAUUGCACAAUGGGCGGAAGCCGGAUGCAGCAACGCCGCGUGCGGGAUGACGGCCUUCGGGUUGUAAACCGCUUUCGCCUGUGACGAAGCGUGAGUGACGGUAAUGGGUAAAGAAGCACCGGCUAACUACGU
rnacentral:rRNA from 1 species